CCGUAGCCCAAGAGAUCGGGAUAACACCUGGAAACAGAUGCUAAUACCGGAUAACAACAGAUGAUGCCUAUCAACUGUUUAAAAGAUGGUUCUGCUAUCACUCUUGGAUGGACCUGCGGUGCAUUAGCUAGUUGGUAGGGUAACGGCCUACCAAGGCGAUGAUGCAUAGCCGAGUUGAGAGACUGAUGGCCACAUUGGGACUGAGACACGGCCCAAACUCCUACGGGAGGCAGCAGCC
rnacentral:rRNA from 1 species